rnacentral:rRNA from 1 species
CUCAGGAUGAACGCUAGCUACAGGCUUAACACAUGCAAGUCGAGGGAAACGAUAGAGAAAGCUUGCUUUUCUAGGCGUCGACCGGCGCACGGGUGAGUAACGCGUAUCCAACCUGCCCACCACUUGGGGAUAACCUUGCGAAAGUAAGACUAAUACCCAAUGACGUCUCUAGAAGACAUCUGAAAAGAGAUUUAAAAGAUUUUAUCGGUGAUGGAUGGGGAUGCGUCUGAUUAGCUUGUUGCGGGGUAACGGCCCACCAAGGCGACGAUCAGUAGGGGUUCUGAGAGGAAGGUCCCCCACAUUGGAACUGAGACACGGUCCAAACUCCUACGGGAGGCAGCAGUGAGGAAUAUUGGUCAAUGGACGAGAGUCUGAACCAGCCAAGUAGCGUGCAGGAUGACGGCCCUAUGGGUUGUAAACUGCUUUUAUAAGGGAAUAAAGUGAGUCUCGUGAGACUUUUUGCAUGUACCUUAUGAAUAAGGACCGGCUAAUUCCGUG